UCCGAUAUGGUGUAACGGCUAACAUUGCCGCCUUUCACGGCUCAGAUGGACGCGGCAGCUCGGGGUUCGAUUCCCCGUGUCGGAA